GAACGGGCAUCGGACACGCUGGGCACGUUGGGAUGCAUCUGAGAAGCGUGUGCUUGCAGCAGGUCUGGGUAUUGAUCUUGACAAGGGAAAUGGUCAGAACCAAAUGUGCCGCCCAGCUUGGACCUCGCUGUUGGCAGAAGACCCUGGCAGGCAACAGACUGGAGGCUCGGAGACCAAGGGGAGAACUCUCACACCGUGACGCUGGUGCAGUCACUGCUUCUGGACUCCUGCUGGAGGGAGCGGCACCUUCACCUUGCAGGCUUUGGUGCAGUGGAGACCUUAGGACCUGCCCCUCCUGGCACACCUGUGGGUGUGGCAAGCAGUGCCAGGGCUGAGGCACAGGUGUGCGUGGUCCAUCGCCCUGCACUGUGGCCAUGGAAGGGAAGAUGAUCUGGAAUGCUGGUGACAGUUAUCGGUGCAUGUUGAUGUGUGCUGCUUUCUACAGGUGAGAACAUUUCUGUUUAAUAAACAAUGAUGACUGCAAG
rnacentral:lncRNA from 1 species